UACAGAGGUCCCAAGCGUUGUUCGGACUCACUGGGCGUAAAGGGUGCGUAGGCGGGUCUUUAAGUCAGGGGUGAAAUCCUGGAGCUCAACUCCAGAACUGCCUUUGAUACUGAAGAUCUUGAGUUCGGGAGAGGUGAGUGGAACUGCGAGUGUAGAGGUGAAAUUCGUAGAUAUCAAGCGGAACACCGGUGGCGAAGGCGGCCUUCUGGACAGUGACUGACGCUGAGAUGCGAAAGCGUGGGGAGCAAACAGG
rnacentral:rRNA from 1 species